UAGAAGCCCAAGAUUGCGAUGCCAGCAAGGUUUUGGCAGAAAUGUGAAUAUAAGCAAGCAUACUAUGAGAUACAUGAUCCAGUCACUGUAACCUUCUUUGGAACUAGUAUUGAUCCAGCAGCAGCUUUCAGUACUGAUCCUAAAAACAAAUAAUAUGAUCGGAUCAGAUCAUCACAAAGGGAGCAGGAAUUUGAAGGAUGUAUCUGGGUUAUUCAAACCGAAAACACCUAACUCCAGUUCAUUAAAAAUCAUUUCAUAUUUGUAUAAAAAUAAUUUUUAAAAGAGUCUAGAUGUAGUUAUAAUUUUAAAAGUAGUCAUAUUUCUAGAACCUUCUUUAAAUUCUUGUUAUUUGAAUAUGAAAUUAUUG
rnacentral:lncRNA from 1 species